UGCCUAAGAAUUCAUGAAUUCAUCCUU
rnacentral:piRNA from 1 species